rnacentral:rRNA from 1 species
UACGUAGGGUGCGAGCGUUGUCCGGAAUUAUUGGGCGUAAAGAGCUCGUAGGCGGUUUGUCGCGUCGACUGUGAAAACUGGGGGCUUAACUCUCAGCUUGCAGUUGAUACGGGCAGACUUGAGUUCGGUAGGGGAGACUGGAAUUCCUGGUGUAGCGGUGAAAUGCGCAGAUAUCAGGAAGAACACCCGUGGCGAAGGCGGUUCUCUGGGACGGUACUGACGCUGAGACGCGAAAGCGUGGGGAGCGAACAGG